rnacentral:lncRNA from 1 species
GCCCCCGCUCUCCGCCAUCAGCAAUCCCCGGUCACCCGCGCGCCACCGCUCUCCGCCAUCAGCGCCCGCUCUCCGCCAUCAGUGCUCCCCCGGUCCCUCACGCGCUCUCCGCCAUCGGCCACGUGAAGAUCCCCCGAAAACCUCCUCCACAUCAGCCCCCCCGGUCGCCCGCCGCCAUCAGCAUCUUCCACCUCGCCUGCGGCCGCGUCCCCCGCGCGCCCCCGCUCUCCUCCAUCUGCCGCGUGAAGCUCUCCCGAAAACCUCCUCCACAUCAGCGCCCCCCGCCAUGCCCCUGUAUCUCGCCUAGCACACGCCGCGCCCACGCAGGCAGCCGUGGAUCUCGCCCCCACCGUCGAGCUUCCAUGGUAGGCAUCCUCUUCCAUACUAGGCGGCCAUGGCAUGAACCCAUCCCCUAUCCGCGCCCCCAUCGCACGGGCCCUAAUCCUAGAAUGGUGCCUUCCUCCUUCUCUGUCGCCUCUGCCCUACUCAGACCUUCGAGACUUCCACUGGCGAUACACACCCACUAGGUACGUGCACCCCUUCUCCUCUAUUCCUACUAUGCAAAACCAAGCACUCAAACUCUAGUUACGUAUUCAAAUAUGAAGUUGUUGUUCCAAUCGAUGAUCAAGGAGCAGACACAACUGAUCGAGCUCUUAUUGGAAUUCCAAACACCGCUCCACUAAAUAUUUCCCCAUAGGUGUACGUGCACCCCUUCUCCUCUGCUCCUACUAUGCGAAACCAACCACUCAAACUCUAGCUACGUUUUCAGAUCUGAAGUUGUUGUUCAUAGAAAGGAUCAACAAGUACUGAUUUUCUUUCUUUUUUUGUUGUUUAAGAUUUUUGGGUUAAUUCUCUUUUAUUCCCCCUACAUACAAAAAUAUAGUAUUAGAAAAUAUACACCAAAUAAAAAUCCAAAAUAACUCCAUCGCAACUUUUUUGCUUCAUCCUUCCUUGUAUACUCCUACUUAAAUGCACACUAAAGAUUGAUGUGCACCAUGGUCAUUGUACCCAGUGUGGUGAUAUUACUGUGAUUUAACCUCACUGUUGUAAUUAUAAUUAAUAGCAUGUCAAUUAUUUUACAGUUUCAAGCGGUUCGGGGAAUGGUCCAUACAAAUCCACAAAUUUUGUAGCUUUUGUAUUCUUUGUUUGGGAUUACAUUCUACGGCCUCUUAUGUAGCACCUGCCUGAACAUUUUGCUGGUAGCACGUUAUAGCCUAUGUUGGUUGAAUUGAGCAAGAAUAAUCCUCAAAAUCUAAGGUUUAUUGAUAGUAUCAUGAUGAGUGUCUUCAAUUACUAAAUGAGCCCUUUGAGGGCGGAGGGGCAAUCAUUCUCUUAUUUGAUUAAAUUUAACUAUUUUCCGCUUCGUUUUUGGUUUUGUCUACUUCAUUACAACUUGCCAAUUGUCAUAGAUUUUUGGUAUUUUGUGAAUUGUUGUUUAGCGAUUUUAUAAAUAGAUAGUGUUAUCUCAUUUUUCUGUCCAUUUCCUCAAAAUCUCUAGGGAAUUCUUAGACCAACAUGAGGAGGAAGAAAUGCCUCAUGUUAUUAGUGUUACACCAGACGUACAAGAGGCCAUUGGACGGGUAAGCAUGGCAUUGUUGAGCUCUGCGAUCCUCCGUUUGAGGUCACAAGAUCAUCUUUUGAUUUUUUUUAUAUUCAGCUUGAGUCCAUGGGGUUUGACUGAGCAUGUGUUAUUGAAGCAUUCUUUGCCUGCGAUAGGAAUGAGGAGCUAUCUGCAAACUAUCUUCUUGAGCAAGCUGGUGAGGAAGAUUAAGCCAGAGUAGUUUUCGUAUGGUGAGGACUCUGCCAUCCUUGGUUUGUCAUCCUCCUAAACAUAAAACAUAUAUGGCAAGUGGCUCACCUAUGGGGUGAUUUCCUUUUUCCUUUUGAACCUUGCCUCUUGUCAACAUCUGACCGACAUUGAUCAAGAUUUUUAGUUCCGAGUGACUAAGAGUUGAUAUGAAGCUGACAAUCAUUUGAAUUGAUUUCUUUGUGCAAGACUUGUAUUACAUAAACAUUUAAAUACAUGUAGUUGAACAUUUUAGUAGAAAUGUUAUAGUUGCGAUCUCCCAUCAUUGUCUUUCAUUAGUGUGGUGGUAAACAUUAGUUCUGCUCAUGUAUGCAUAUAGGCUGGGGGAAGUGCAAGGAUAAAAGGGAGAAUGACAAAUUGACAAUAUGUUUGCGACAAACAGUCAUGCUGCCCUCAAGUGUGGAUGAUGAGUGUAGAUAAAAUGUUAACUGUGCCAAGGCUAUCAUUGCCAAGUGUAUACAUGCUGCCUUUGUAGUUCUAACAGAAUGUUAGAUAAAUGCAACAGUUGUUUAGAUAGACUAUUUGCUAUUUUUAUGAUAAAAAUAUUUGCUUGAUCGAUUAACCAACGUUGGAGUUACAAAAUGGUAGUAGCAUAUUGCAUGAUUUGAAACUGGAAUUACAUAAUCGAAUAGAUUACAUCAGCUGUGAAAACACUUUGCAUCCCAUUUCGCAGGGUACAAACAUAGCUUUGCGUCAAUCGAUGCCAGGCAAAUGUAGAACGCUUGGUAGCCGGUCAGCGCUAUGUGUAGAACACAUACUCCAGAGAUGAACAUGGAUCACGAGAACUGGAAUAAUUGCUGUCAGGUUUUUCUCAUUACCUGAACUCCAUUAUGUGCUUGGGUUAACCCUACCAAGAUGUAACACUGUCUGCCUCCUGUUUUCCUACCAAGCAAAUUUAGCUCCAAAUGAAAUGUUAUGUUCUCUGAAUUCUAAUGCAUAUAAGCCACACAAAUGAUUUUUUACAUCCAAAGUCACCUGACCAUGAAUAUGUUGAGUUUUAAUUGCUCUUUUAUGUCAGCUGCAUUGAAACAGGCAGAUCCUAUUAACAACUCCGCAUUGGCUCUCUGCCCCAGCCAUGGACCCAUGACAUCGGUGGUUUCGCGCACCUCAAAGACAUGGGUGGGGAGGCAUCGCGGCUGCUGCACGCCCUCUAGAGAAUGCUUAUCGAUCAUCAGGUGCAUUCAAUUACGCUUUCGGUUGCUGCAUUGAGAAAUGAAUCAGUCGAACUGUGAACCAACUACUUGAAAUUUCACGUGAUGUGGGGUAUAGUGGCAAUGCAUAAGCCCACAUGGAGCACUGGGUCUUCGAGGUGACACACUGACAUUGCAACUGAACACACUUGUCUAUGUGGCUAUGGCUACGGUAUACAUAGAGUCGUACAUUAGGUAGCUUAUUCAAUCAAAUAAUGUCCGGUUUUGUCAUGAAAGUGAUAAUAAUCUUCUAUAUAAACUUGGUCAAACGUAAGACAUUUCACUUAAAAUAAAACCAGAACGUCUCUCUUUUUCGGUGGAGAUAGUAUUAAUAUAAUUUCGAAAAUUCUGAUCUGCGAGUUGGUACUUUGAUAAUUCAAAUCCAUGUUGCCAAAAGCUAACUGAUAUAAUACUUUCUUCAACAGUAACUAUCAUACUAUCUGCAUCUUCUAUGAUCUAUUAAAGUACCUCACAAGAGAUCCAAUUAAUGAUUCACACCUGCAAGAUAACACCUGUAGUGGAAAUCCAGUUUUCUGGUGUGAGUCUAAAUAUUUCAGAAACAAUGAAAGCAUAGAAGAAAAUGCUGCAGUAGGACAAUACCUAAUUAUCAUGUGCAUGCCCCUAGACCCUCCAUUUUUCUCUUAGCGAGGAAGCAGAAAACCAAACUCAAAUACAAGAAAUAUUAGUCAAUACAAAGUGGCCAAAUUUCUCGAGACAGAAAAAGACAGGUGGGAUGUAGAAAGGGACUUAAAAGUUGAAACCAUUGGCCCCAUGUACUGCGGCAAAAUAUUUCUCUUCUUCUGGCAGUACAGUAGCUUGCAUCAUAUGUGACAUCCUCUUUAUAGUACAGGAAGUCAAGAAUAGCCCGAGUGCUCAGCACAUAUGCUACAUGCUCCCAACUACAUUACCCCUUCUUUGAAGUGGCGAGCAAAGCGAGAAGUUUGAGUGGGGCCCAAAACCUGAGUGGGGCCUAAAUAGAAACCUACUUACUAAUGGACCUUUAUAGCUACAAUGAAUAAGAUAAAAACUCCACUGAAACCAGAAAAUUGAGUGGGACCCCGUGCCCCAGUCAGCCCAACGUGAGCCUACCCUUGCUUCUCUGCUCAGACAUGCACAUAAACUGAAUUCGUCUCAUUUAUUUAUGUUUAAGGUGUGUCGUUUAUUCACUUGCUCCAGCUGCUGCUAUCACCCCAACCAAAUCAAUUUUGAAGGCCGAAUUAUCUAACAACAUUUCCAAAGGGAAUAUUUCAAGUUCACCUACACGGCCGCACCUUCUCCCGAACAACGUGGAGCAAGCAAUCAUUUCCUGUAGAAUAAUAUGCGAAUAAUGAAGUCAUAACACCUUUUGAUUUGAACAAAGGGAAAACAAUAAAUAUGAGAAAUAGGGUGCAAAUAAGAUGUCUAAUAAAGGUAUAAAUCGAAGACCAAGUUCUCAUGUUGCAAAUGUAGAUGAUAAUACAAAUGAAGUCUGGAGCUUACAGUUCUGCAGAGUUUGUUUAUUAAUCGAGGUUCUUUUAUUAAUGUUGAAGUUGUUGGAACUUUAGUUUGGCAGAGUUUGUUGCCUUUUCUUUUGGCUAUCAAACCUGUUUGUAUCUUUAUUGCUUUCAUCAAGUGGUAUUGUAUAUCGAACUUGUGCUUUGAUGAUUUCUCUUUUACCUUUUGAACAUAGGCAUAGGAACGGUUUUCUGAACUGGACCACAUUAGCAGGACAUCGUUAUGUUCGAUAGAUGCACAAAGCACUACUGGAUUCGAGGUUUCAGUUAAGGUUGAACAGUUCGACUCUGACACGUCAAGGCGCUAGAAGUUUGGACAAGAAGAAUUAUGAUCAUUAUAGUUUGGGGCAACCAAUAUCAUUAUUACGACAAUGGCUAGGGUCCAAAUGAUUCUCAUCUUCAAUUUUCGUAAUGAUUUGGUUAUAGAAUUACAAUUUUUUAUUGUCUUGAUAUUUUUUAACACUACCCUAAAUGGUUGAAUGGAUGCUAGAAUUAUGUCAAGAUUUUUCUGUGCCGUCGCAACACACGGGCACUGUACUAGUUCUAUAAUAUAUAGAUAUUUAGGACUGUAAUUGUACUCGCUAAACUUCACCGUAAAGCAGCUGUACAGGAAAUUAUAGAAUUUUAUGGAACACUCUUUUAGGCGUGGAACAGAAACCGAACCUAACUAACUAAAAAGUAUAGAAUGAAACUGAAAAAUAUAGAGUGGAUAAGUCAUAAACGUCUCCUUAGUAUAACGUGGCUCGAUACAGUGUUUAUUCAUCAAUCUUUUAGUUUUACAAAAAAGUCUAUAUAUACCGCAACUAUUUCUAACUAUGGUUUACUAAUCCUUGUUUGGAUCGACCCCAUAAAACUAGGCAACGUAUCAAGUGCAAACCAAUUUUUUGUGCAAAUACCAUACAAACUAACUAACAAAAGUCACAAAAAAUAUCAAAAAUGUUAUGAAUGUAUUUUAUUGCCUACUCUAUCAUUGUAUAAAAUUUUAAAUUCAAAUCCAUCAUAUAUUAAAACAUGCAAAAAAACAAAAUUCUGAGAUAAUUUUCACUUUUUUGUAUCUAAGAAUUUUCUCUUUUUUUGUAUCUCUUAACAUAUGAUGAAUUUGAACUUGAAAUUUUAUACAGUGGUAGAGUAGGUAAUAUAGUAGAUCUAUAAUCUUUUGAGAAUUUUUUGUAACUUUUGUUAGUUGGUUUGCAUGGAGUUUGCACGGAAACUUUGUUUGCACCUGAUACGUUGCCAUACAACUAAUAGGUGUUAGUUCAUAUUGUAACGAAAAUGGACUCCUACCCAUUUGUCUAAGUAAUUUUGGUGUUUGAUGAACAACGUAAUCAGUGAACUAAUGUUUUGCAGAUGUUUAUAUUUUAUAGUUCACAGGAUGCGAAGUGUAUUGGACUGUAAUACCCAAGUUGUAAAGAGAAAUAAAGGAGAUAAUUGUUCCUAUGUGAUUUGCCUCUAACAUUUUGAACAUAUGAAUAACCAUAUGUAAAAGUGAAUAAUUCUUUAAUAGAACCUAAAUAAGCCAUACAUCAUGCUGGAGUCUCUUUGUGUGUGCAUUUGGUAAUAAUAAUAAUAAUAAUAAUAAAGUUAAUAGAAACAUAUUAGUAGCUCAAUUAGAAAUUAAAGAUCUAAUUGGAAUUUUGGAAUACAAAACAAAUAGAUAAAAUAAUAUAUGAAUAAAUAUAUUCCUGCCCUAGGUUUUGAAUUUGUACAUUUAGCCCAAGGAGUGAAACUCAACCAAAUUUGAAUUUAAAAUUUGAAAUUCGAAAAUAGGAAGAAGGAAAAACAAAGAAAAAGGAAAAAUACUUACCCUACCCGCGCUUGGGCCUAUUCCUGAGUUCUCGGCCCACUUAUGCCAUCAUAGCGGUCCACGCGCGCGCCGCGUGCUCUGCGACUGACCGGCGGGCCCACUGGCCAGUGAACCGCGGGCGCUCGGGCGUGACUUCAAACACUGGGAACCAGACCCCACUGUUAGACUCCGUGCCCUCUCCCUCGAUCGCUCGCCGUGGAAAUCGGGCGCCGCGACCACUUCGCCGCGAAAUCCGCGGAACUGGGUAGACUAGACCACCCUUCUGGACCGGGUACAAAGGAAGCCCGGGCCCCUCUUUCCCCCUCCUAGCUUUUAACUUCCCUUACACAAUUGAAGCACCAGACCGAGGCAUAGGCGAGGGAGUCGGUGGGACUAUCCGCGGUGGAAUUCACCAGCCGUCACCUGCGCGCGGUCGACGUCGGUGUUUGGAGUUGGGGAACGGCGGGCGCAUCACGACACAUCGCUCGGUGGUCGAUGAUUGGGAGGAGGCGGCUCCGUACAGGCGGAAUUUCUCACCGUCGCUGGGAAAUCUCUGUGGACCGCACAACCACGUGGACAGAGCCGCUAUCGUCCCGAAUCCGGGGUAAGAUCACCUCCAUACUCUCUGCCCUACUCUCCUCUACGCGAGUACCCUUCGGAUGAGGUCUUGGGGCAUUAAAUCGCAGUGUCCGCGCUCGGCGGCGAAGCGCCGUCGUGAAGUACAAUCCACCGUCGUGUUGGAGGGCAGAAGGUUGAAGAUGACGCCGGGCCAUCCGAUCUGAUCGUGCGGCUAGGAUUAGAUCAACAUACCCCCUCGUCCCCAAUUAAAUGGUGGCUGUCGAUCUCGGGAUCGGUGGUUCGUGUGUGUGUUGGCGUGGACGGAUCUGGGCCAUGGAUCCCAGAUCCAAUAGCAGCGGGCGCUUACCGAUUCAUAGCCGAGUCAAUCUAAUCUGGCGCGACGGAACCAAAUCAGGUGGUGGAUACCUUUCCAUACCAUUUCGGCCGUGACAUUUUACAGUCGGGCCCCUAGGGUUAGUAGAAAUCAACCCACGGUACACAUGUCGUGUAAAGACUCGGAAUUCUUAUAGAAUACCCCCUGCACUCUUCUGAUUUAAUGUGCGCAGUCCAGGGCAAAAGAAAAUCAAAGAAAAUGAAAUAGAAAUUGAUUUUUAAUGUAAAAGUAAUUGUUAGAACUUAUUUAAUCCCUAGAAAAUCCAUAUUUAGUCCAAAUUGAUCCAUUCCAGUUCCUAUAAUUUUGUAUUAAUAUUGUCUAUAACUUAGUAACAUUGUUUUAACAUGAAAACUGUAUUAAAAUUGAUCUCUUAAUUAAUCUUAUACCAAACACAUAAAACCUUUGGAAAUUCAUAACUCAAAAUCUGUAACUCCGAAUUUAGCGAUUCUUUUUCCUAUGAUCUCGUUAUGAUGUGUAGAUUAUUAUUAUGUAUUUUGUAUACAUAUUUAGUGUGAUGUUAAUUUCUUCCUUGUACCAUGCUUGUUUGUAUUGUGGCGAGUAGAAGAACCAGUGACCGAGGAUCCAGGUGUUCAGCAGGUAGAAGUUGCUGAGCAGGAGCUCAUUGAAGGCAAGUUAUGCCCUUGACCACUUUUAUUACCCAAUAAUGUUCUUUAUAAUCAUUUAUUCAUGCAUAGUCUUAAUUUUGAUGGGACCCAAUAGGUCACCCUAGUCUGGUUAUCUUUUCACCUUGUUUACCCCUGAACUAUUUGGGUAGUUUUUGCUAUUGCUCUUUAUGGUUUUGGGAUUAAUAUUACAUUAUGAUAAUGUUCCAAUUAUACUGUUGUUUUAUUUAUUGUUCAUGACAAGAUCAUUAUAUUAAUUGGGACAUGGAGCUUAACUUGAGAAACACGUGCCACCACAAGGAUAGAAUGGGACGCCCUUGGCUGACUAACUAGGAAAGCUAGUGGAGGACUACCUUACCCGAUAGGGGCAAGGGCAGUAGGGGAGUAGGCGUGUAGGGAGGCUCCCGGGUUGAUUUUGCUGCGAUGGCGGGCAGAUGGGGGAUUACUGCAUUGCUCUUCCUAGACUGUAGCGGGUUUUCUGAAGCUAGUGAAACUUUGUAAAGGCCUCGUAGUGGAUGCCCAGCCAUUCACCUCGGUAGUGUCUAAGGGUCUAGCUAACCCUCGCGACAUGGGAUACAUGACUUGUGGGUACAGGGUACAACCUCUGCAGAGUGUAAAACUGGUAUACUAGUCGUGCUCGCGUUCAUGAGCAGCUCAGGACUCUCGCAUGAUUAAACUAUGGAACUAAAUUCAAUUUGUCAUUUGCAUUGCAUGAGAUUUAUUAUUAAUUUUUUUCUAUUAUUAUUCUGGUUUGGUAUUUACUUACAUUUUGUAACUGCUAAUAAAAUUUGACCAACUUAUUAAAAGCAAUGCUCAGUUUUAACCCCUAUUGUUGAUCAGCCUUACACAUCAUAUGAACUCCCACCUUUGGUGAAUUCAUGCACAUUAUUCCCCACAACUUGUUGAGCUAUGAUCUUUUGUGAGCUCACACUUGCGAUAUAUAAAUCCCCCACAGGAGAAGAACAGGUCGUC